rnacentral:rRNA from 1 species
GAUGAACGCUGGCGGCGUGCCUAAUACAUGCAAGUCGAACGAACAGACGCGGAGCUUGCCCGUCUGACGUUAGCGGCGGACGUGUGAGAAACACGUGGGUAACCUGCCUAUAAGUCUGGGAUAACUUCGUGAAACCGGACCUAAUACCGUAUAAUGUAUUGAACGGCAGGGUUCAAUAGUGAAAUACGCUUUUCCUGUCUCGAAUAGCUGAUUCCGCGCCGCAUUAGCUAGUUGGUAAGGUAACGGCUUACCAAGGCGACGAUGCGUAGCCGACCUGAGAGGGUGAUCGGCCACACUGGAACUGAGACACGGUCCAGACUCCUACGGGAGGCAGCAGUAGGGAAUCUUCCGCAAUGGGCGAAAGCCUGACGGAGCAACGCCGCGUGAGUGAUGAAGGUCUUCGGAUCGUAAAACUCUGUUAUUAGGGAAGAAAAAAUGUGUAAGUAACUAUGCACGUCUUGACGGUACCUAAUCAGAAAGCCACGGCUAACUACGUG